rnacentral:rRNA from 1 species
CACACCGCCCGUCACAUCACGAAAGUGGGCUGUACUAGAAAACGUUGAGCUAACCUUAUGGGAGCAGGCGUUCACGGUAUGGUUCAUGAUUGGGGUG